UUUAAUUGAAGAGUUUGAUCAUGGCUCAGAUUGAACGCUGGCGGCAGGCCUAACACAUGCAAGUCGAGCGGCAGCGGAAGGGAGCUUGCUCCCUUGCCGGCGAGCGGCGGACGGGUGAGUAAUGUCUGGGGAUCUGCCCGAUGGAGGGGGAUAACUACUGGAAACGGUAGCUAAUACCGCAUAACGUCGCAAGACCAAAGUGGGGGACCUUAGGGCCUCACACCAUCGGAUGAACCCAGAUGGGAUUAGCUAGUAGGCGGGGUAAGAGCCCACCUAGGCGACGAUCUCUAGCUGGUCUGAGAGGAUGACCAGCCACACUGGAACUGAGACACGGUCCAGACUCCUACGGGAGGCAGCAGUGGGGAAUAUUGCACAAUGGGGGAAACCCUGAUGCAGCCAUGCCGCGUGUAU
rnacentral:rRNA from 1 species